CUCUCUUCAGAGACAUCCAAUAAAAUUGGAACAAUACAGAGAAUAUUAGCAUGGCCUUGCACGAGGAUGACAUCAUAUGGCUAUGUGUUCUAAUCCUUC